AGAAUAAAAAUUAAAAGUAGACUUCUAAUCUUAUUUUUUAGUGGUGAAAUUCCAUUAUUAUUCUU
rnacentral:tRNA from 1 species